rnacentral:rRNA from 1 species
GUGGGGAAUCUUCCGCAAUGGACGAAAGUCUGACGGAGCAACGCCGCGUGAGUGAAGAAGGUUUUCGGAUCGUAAAGCUCUUUCGUUAGGGACGAACGUGCUCUUUGUGAAUAAUGAGGAGUAAUGACGGUACCUAAAUAAGAAGCCACGGCUAACUACGUGCCAGCAGCCGCGGUAAUACGUAGGUGGCAAGCGUUGUCCGGAAUUAUUGGGCGUAAAGCGCGCGCAGGCGGGAUAUCAAGUCUGUCUUAAAAGUGCGAGGCUCAACCUCGUGAGGGGACAGAAACUGGUAUUCUUGAGUGUCGGAGAGGAAAGUGGAAUUCCAAGUGUAGCGGUGAAAUGCGUAGAGAUUUGGAAGAACACCAGUGGCGAAGGCGACUUUCUGGACGAUGUCUGACGCUGAGGCGCGAAAGCUAGGGGAGCGAACGGGAUUAGAAACCCCUGUAGUCC